GAAAAAAAAAUGCUGGAAGUCAUGACGUAGACGGCGUUCGAGCAUUUGACAUUUAAUAGGGGACCCUCUCACGCUCUCUGUCUCUUGAUGCCCUGCAUCGUCAUCAAGCAUGUUCUGGUCCAGAGUGACCCUGCAUCUGGCAGACUCUAGAACAGGCAGAUAAGGCCUGCAUUUUCUUCGUAAGUCUAGUGGACUUUACAAUUUGCAAGUGAAGUAUCUGUCAGGGACGCGAAACAGGAAGAUUCUUGUGGUUCUGGCCGAAACCAUCUGCUCACAUUAAUCCAUUCGUGGUUGUGUUUUCUCAAACACUCGAUCCCAGGACAGAGCAGGCUAAGAAAGGGGUGCUGGUGUCAGGCAAUGGCAGUGCACCUGAAGGACCUGUGCAGAGGGACAGAAGGCACACAGUGAGCCGCUCCUUUGUCAGUGAGCCCCAGUGCCCCCCGCCUGCUCUCCUGUGCCUUCCUCCAGGACCACUGUGGCCAGCUGGCUCACUUGCCUUCAUCCAUGUCAAUAACUUCCUCAUGGCUUUCAUUUUUUUCAUUUUUCAUUUCCUUCUCUUCCUUCUAUUUUAAGUUAUUAAGGGAAACAACACUGACAGUGCUAAGCAGAGCCUGGAAUGGAGAGAGAGCGCUACAGAAAAGAUCUGGAAAGCUGAAGAGAACUUUCCACUUCAUCGUCUCUGGGAGCCCAGCGAUCAGGGCCCUGCACCUCUCAAAGGCCCCAUGCGGCAGCCCUGUCGAUGCCCUCCUGUGUGGUCUUCCCUGCCACCAGCACUCCAGCACCUAUUUCAUCUGCUUCUGUCCUUUUCUUGUUAAGCUGCAGACACUGCCUUCCUCCCCACACUGGGCUUCUCCAAUGUUUGGAGCAACUGGGAUCCAUUUGUGCAGUCAGCUGCCACUUGUGAAAGCCUCACUACGCGCCACCCCUACUUUGUGUUGGGAGCACCCUACUGAGCAAGAUGCCACCUUGCCCUCAAGACACUCCCCACUCACACCCUGGGUUGUCUCUGUGCCCUCUGGAUGACCAAGACUGACUUGGUGGCUUUGCUUGGGCCUCUGAUUGCCAUCGGCAGAGAUCACCUACAAUCUGGAGUUGGAGCGUGAAAUGCCAGUCAUCCUUCUGAUUCCCUCAUUCUCUCCCCAAAACCACCGCCCCCCCAUCUACCUCCCCUUCUCCAGCCCACCAGGCCUGCUCCUCAUGCUACAACCAGCCUCCUCACACUGAGCUAGGACACUGAGGAGGAGCAGAGCUGUGACCAGGAGCGUUGUCACAUCUCAUGGUUCUCUGCCUCAUCUGCCAAAAUUUAGGGAGCUUUUAUGUCAGCUGGACUGAAACGAGCCUCCGUUUCUGUUACUGCUUCCUUGUGUCUCUCUUUUAUACACUUU
rnacentral:lncRNA from 1 species